GCCUGAAUAGCUCAGCUGGUUAGAGAAUGGGGCUGAUAACACCAAGGUUGCAGGUUUGAUCCCCAUAAUGGACA